rnacentral:tRNA from 1 species
GGGGAUUUAGCUCAGCAGCAUAAGCGCCUGCCUUGCAAGCAGGCAGUCGUGAGUUCAAGUUCGAUCCCCG